GCCAGAUUUCAUAUUUAGCUCAGAAUUUGUACAUAAAGGACAAGGAAAAGCAGAUUUCGUGUUUAGGUAGUGCAGAAUUUGUCUGAAAAGGACGAGAAAGGGCUCAUUUAAUGUUUUAGAUUGAUUAAGCUGAGCUGGCCGUGGGCCCAGGCUUCACCUGGGGCUGGGCCAGAGCUUGUGUUGAUUCCAAAGGUUUUCCCAGCAGCCCUGACCCCCUUGGAAAAGCUCUUUUGGAAAAUCCUCCUCGUGCAGGGCCACGGGCAGCAAUGGGAGGACACAAAUUUUCAUUUUUAAGUGGCUUUGCAGCUGUGAAGUCCAGGAAAAAUCCCAUUGAAGCUUCCCUAUAAAUCCCAAAAAAAAUCUGUUUUAAAAGGCUUGACCUCGUCACCCAGCAGGCUUUUGUUGGCACAAAUCUAAGGACAGGUUAAUUAACCUCUGAAAGGUUAAUUUUGGGGUUAUCAGGUUGCAAAAUCCUCAGGCAAAGGUUUUUUGCAGUCCUUGAAUCCUUCCCAUGUUGUGUGUGGAGUUGGAGUCAGCACUGAGUUGAGAUAUUCUCUUUAAAUAAAUGAAUAUCACAUAAAUACUGAGUCUAAUUAAGUAAUACAUGAGGAAAUAAAUCUAAAAGCAGACCUGCGCUUAAUUAGCCUUCAGGUUUUUGUUUAAAAAAUAAGUUUGCUCCAAGCCAAUAAAAAUUUUAGUGAAAUUAAGAAUAAAUACUUUCAAGUUAGUAUUUACAUACUUGAUCUGGGGGUCAGAAUUUGUGGGGAAUUCAUUUUUACAUCCCCCACCCUUGUCUUUUAACAAUCCUGGUAAUCAAAGCAGUAUUUAAAAACAAGGUGGAUAAACAGCAGUUUCUGUGCAGCAGAAGCUGAAAUACCUGAUUAAACGUAAAGGGCUAAAAGGUUUAGUUCCUGCAAAAUCACUCAAAACCUCAAGUGUGACAAGUCAUGAUUAGGAUUGGUCAAAAUUUGGUCAAAUAUAGUCAAAAUUUCAGAUGUUCAAAGAGGGAAAUACCAAAACAGAGUCUGUGAUGGAAGAGUUUCCUGCCAGAAUACAGCAGGCAAAAGUGUGGGCUCAAGUUUAACACACAGGGAGAAUAUGGAUUAUCGAAGCAAAAAGUGGUUUUGCCUGAAAUAACUCCCAUUUUCUCGUGUUCAGGAGUUCACAGAUAGCUGUGUCAACAUUUCCUCUGUUUGCUUUACACUUGGAUCUGGUGUGAAACCAAGAACCAGCUGGUUCCUUUCUGGUUUUCCUUCUGCUCCUGCUGGGGUUUGUGGCAAGAAUUUAAAAUCCUUUUAAAUUCUCCUGCUUUUCCAGCAUUUGUUGGGAGUGUCAUGGUGAAUCCCAGGGCUGGCUGCAGCAGAAUUUUAAUGGGAUUUUUGGGAACUUUGAUUUUAUAACCAGAAUAUGGAUGCAUAUUUAGUGCAGGUCUGCUUUUAGAUUUAUUUCCUCACGUGUUACAUGAGCCACUCAGUAUUUGUGUGCUGCUCAUUUAUUUAAUGAGGAUUUCCCAGUGUUUGUGGCAAGCAUUUAAAAUCCUUGUUUGGCAUUUAAAAUGCCAGUGUUUGUGGCAAAAAUUUCAAAAUUUUGACUAAAUAUAGUCAACAUUUCACACCUGAAAUUUUGACUAUAUUUACCCAAUUUUUGACCAGUCCUAAUCAUUACUUGUCACACUUGAGGUUUUUGAGUGAUUGGGCAGGAACUGAACCCUUUCAGCCCUUUACAUUUCCUCUCAGAUGUGAUUCCUGGCUCCCUGUUUUCCAACAGGGCAAGGAGUGCUUUUUUUUAAAUCAGUCAGCAAAUUGGACUUUAAUUGUCUGCUCCACUGAAGGCUUUUAAUAGUGAUAUUUUUUUAAAUAGAUGUGUUUGUAAUUUAUUUUGGGAUUUUCCAGGAUCAUUAAGCUGGCACAGGCUGGGGCAGUGAAUAUUCCUUUAAAGCAGAUUUGUGUCAAAUCUGCAGUGGAACCACAGAGUUAUUUUUGUAUGCCUUGUAUAAGUCUGAAAUUUUGUUUUCUUGAUGAAAAAAUAUAUAUAAAUUUUCUAUUUCCUGCUGCUGUGGUUUGUACAAAGAAUAACCAGUGAUGCUUUAUUUACCUGUAUAUAGAGAAAAAGGCCCCUGGCCUGUUUUUAAUUCAGGUUUAAAGGAUUUAAUUCUUAUUUUUAACUUUGUAUUUUGUAAAUUGUUCCUUACAAAAGCAGAAGCAUUAAACACCACUUUGGCUGCAGCA